NNCGUCUCCCACGUGGCUUCACCACCCCCUCUCACGCAAAGACCCCUGGGCAGUGCACCUCCUCCCCUCCCCCUCAGAGGGCCACACCAAAAAAAGGCAGUUUGCAGUAACCGGGGAAUUAACUCUUUAACUGCCCGUACCUUACAUGAUGUAAUGAUGUGGAAUACCGACAACAAAAAAUCACUUCUCUGCCGCUUUAGCCGCCGGACCGCCCGGGGGCUGGCUCUUAUCGCCGGCAAUUUUUUUUUCUUUCCUUCCUCUUUUCUCGUUUCUUUUUUUCUUUUGGGCCUGUCCCCCCUUGUCACGGACGCAGACCCUUAGACAAUACCGUGACAAAUACUGGUGGAGGAUGCGGGCAAUAGAUCUGCUUUCAAUUUUUGGAAUGAUGCAUAAAGGAUUAACGGUAAUCAUGUUCCUCGGAACAUACUGGUUUCUGGUUAAGGCUAUCAUGUUCUGUGUUGGAGUUGUGUGUACAUAUAACUACAUAAUGGUGCUGAUGGAGAUACCAGCCUGGUGCUUGUACCUCCCGGAUGGAGUGGCUAGUUUUACAAGCAGCACCGUGGUGAGGCUGGCUUCCAGGUUCUCCCCUCAGUUCCUUAUGCACCCUUGGAAUUUCAAUCUAGCAAUCGUGAUACUAAUUGCUUUGAAUGUUUUCCUCCUAAUAAUAAUUUACAUUAUGUGGAGGAAACUCUCCUCAAAACCAGAAAAUGCUGAGUGGCAGGGAAUAUGGAGAGGCCUAGGGAAGACCUUAGAAACAUGGGGACCCCCGGUGUUAUGUGCUUAUCGAGCUCUAUACAACACUGUUCUUGAGAGAGAGAGCUUCCCGGCUGAAAUUCGAACCAGAGGGGGAAGCCCCCAGGCUAAACCUGAGCAAGCACAGGAGGCACCAGUAUCCGUGGCAGUUGCUCCUGUGGAAAGACAGAAAGGGAAACGGGUGCCCUCGCGUCUGGAACGGAAGGAAGAAGCGGAGAAGGUAGAGGAAGAAGCGGAGAGGGUAGAGGAAGAUCCAGGCGAGGGGCCCUCCCCGAACGCAUCGUUAUCAACAAAGGCAACCGAAGAAAACAAGAGACAUGGAGAGGAUAAGGAGGAGGAAGGCGUCACUGUUACAACUGUCCGCCGACCUCUGAAAAUGA
rnacentral:lncRNA from 1 species